GCCGUCCUGGUGGAAUUGGUAGACACGCCAGAUUUAGGUUCUGGUGGGGUAACCUGUCCGAGUUCGAGUCUCGGGGACGGCACCA
rnacentral:tRNA from 1 species